rnacentral:rRNA from 1 species
AGUGAACGCUGGCGGUAGGCCUAACACAUGCAAGUCGAACGGCAGCACAGUAAGAGCUUGCCCUUACGGGUGGCGAGUGGCGGACGGGUGAGGCAUACAUCGGAAUCUACUUUUUCGUGGGGGAUAACGUAGGGAAACUUACGCUAAUACCGCAUACGACCUACGGGUGAAAGCAGGGGAUCUUCGGACCUUGCGCGUUUGAAUGAGCCGAUGUCGGAUUAGCUAGUUGGCGGGGUAAAGGCCCACCAAGGCAACGAUCCGUAGCCGGUCUGAGAGGAUGAUCAGCCACACUGGAACUGAGACACGGUCCAGACUCCUACGGGAGGCAGCAGUGGGGAAUAUUGGACAAUGGGCGCAAGCCUGAUCCAGCCAUACCGCGUGGGUGAAGAAGGCCUUCGGGUUGUAAAGCCCUUUUGUUAGGAAAGAAAAGCAGCAGGUUAAUACCCCGCUGUUCUGACGGUACCCAAAGAAUAAGCACCGGCUAACUUCGUG